rnacentral:rRNA from 1 species
GUAGGUGGCAAGCGUUGUCCGGAAUUAUUGGGGCGUAAAGCGCGCGCAGGCGGUCCUUUAAGGUCUGAUGUGAAAGCCCACGGGCUCAACCGUGGAGGGUCAUUGGAAACUGGGGGACUUGAGUACAGAAGAGGAAAGCGGAAUUCCAAGUGUAGCGGUGAAAUGCGUAGAGAUUUGGAGGAACACCAGUGGCGAAGGCGGCUUUCUGGUCUGUAACUGACGCUGAGGCGCGAAAGCGUGGGGAGCAAACAGGAUUAGAUACCCUGGUAGUCCACGCCGUAAACGAUGAGUGCUAAGUGUUAGGGGGUUUCCGCCCCUUAGUGCUGCAGCUAUCGCAUUAAGCACUCCGCCUGGGGAGUACGGCCGCAAAGGCUGA